ACAGAGGCGGCAAGCGUUGUUCGGAAUUAUUGGGCGUAAAGAGCAUGUAGGCGGCUAUGUAAGUCGGUUGUGAAAGCCUUCCUCUUCCCUUAAGACUUUCUGUCGAAACUGCAUGGCUUGAGUGCGGGAGGGGAGAGUGGAACUUCUGGUGGAGCGGUGAAAUGCGUAGAUAUCAGAAGGAACGUCGGCGGCGAAAGCGACUCUCUAGUCCGUAACUGACGCUGAGUGUGCGAAAGCUAGGGGAGCAAACGG
rnacentral:rRNA from 1 species